rnacentral:rRNA from 1 species
GCUUGUCUCAAAGAUUAAGCCAUGCAUGUCUAAGUAUAACUCUUUUACUUUGAAAACUGCGAACGGCUCAUUAUAUCAGUUAUAGUUUCUUUGAUAGUCCCUUACUACUUGGAUACCCGUAGUAAUUCUAGAGCUAAUACAUGCAUCAAUACCCAACUGUUCGCGGAAGGGUAGUAUUUAUUAGAUACAAAACCAAUGCGGAGCAAUCCGGUUUGUGGUGAUUCAUAAUAACUUUGCGAAUCGCAUGGCCUUGCGCCGGCGAUGAAUCAUUCAAAUUUCUGCCCUAUCAACUUUCGAUGGUAAGGUAUUGGCCUACCAUGGUUACAACGGGUAACGGGGAAUUAGGGUUCGGUUCCGGAGAGGGCGCCUGAGAAAUGGCGACCACAUCCAAGGAAGGCAGCAGG